rnacentral:rRNA from 1 species
UGAAGAAUUUGUCCAACGGUGGGGGAUAGCCGGCCCAACGGCCGGGUAAUACCGCGUACGACGGUUGGGGCGCAUGCUCUGGCCGUGAAAGCAGCAAUGCGCCGAUGGAGUGCCUCACGGCCUAUCAGCUAGUCGGUGAGGUAAUGGCUCACCAAGGCGACGACGGGUAGCUGGUCUGAGAGGAUGGCCAGCCACAUUGGGACUGAGACACGGCCCAGACCUCUACGGGAGG